AGAGUUUGAUCCUGGCUCAGGAUGAACGCUAGCGGCAGGCUUAACACAUGCAAGUCGAGGGGCAUCGGGAGGAAAGCUUGCUUUCCUUGCCGGCGACCGGCGCACGGGUGAGUAACACGUAUGCAACCUGCCCUCUUCAGGGGGACAACCUUCCGAAAGGGAGGCUAAUCCCGCGUAUAUCGGUUUCGGGCAUCCGAGAUCGAGGAAAGAUUCAUCGGAAGAGGAUGGGCAUGCGGCGCAUUAGCUUGACGGCGGGGUAACGGCCCACCGUGGCGACGAUGCGUAGGGGUUCUGAGAGGAAGGUCCCCCACACUGGUACUGAGACACGGACCAGACUCCUACGGGAGGCAGCAGUGAGGAAUAUUGGUCAAUGGGAGAGAUCCUGAACCAGCCAAGCCGCGUGAGGGAAGGCGGCCCUAUGGGUUGUAAACCUCUUUUGUCGGAGAACAAAACCCGGGACGUGUCCCGGACUGCGUGUAUCCGAAGAAAAAGCAUCGGCUAACUCCGUG
rnacentral:rRNA from 1 species